rnacentral:snRNA from 1 species
AUACUUACCUGGCGCGGGGGAUACCGUGAUCAAGAAGGCGGUGCCUCCAGGACGAGGCCUGUACAUUGCACUCCGUAUGGGCUGACUCCUGCGACUACCGCAAAUCGGGGUGGCUCGAGCGCAUAAUUUUUGGUAGUGGGGACAAGCGUUCGCGCGCUGUCCCUU